GUGGGGAAUAUUGGACAAUGGGGGGAACCCUGAUCCAGCCAUGCCGCGUGUGUGAAGAAGGCCUUUUGGUUGUAAAGCACUUUAAGCGAGGAGGAGGCUACCGAGAUUAAUACUCUUGGAUAGUGGACGUUACUCGCAGAAUAAGCACCGGCUAACUCUGUGCCAGCAGCCGCGGUAAUACAGAGGGUGCAAGCGUUAAUCGGAUUUACUGGGCGUAAAGCGCGCGUAGGUGGCCAAUUAAGUCAAAUGUGAAAUCCCCGAGCUUAACUUGUGAAUUGCAUUCGAUACUGGUUGGCUAGAGUAUGGGAGAGGAUGGUAGAAUUCCAGGUGUAGCGGUGAAAUGCGUAGAGAUCUGGAGGAAUACCGAUGGCGAAGGCAGCCAUCUGGCCUAAUACUGACACUGAGGUGCGAAAGCAUGGGGAGCAAACAGGAUUAGAUACCCUUGUAGUCC
rnacentral:rRNA from 1 species